AGCCACGCAAUGAGCACAGAGCGAACUAUUCUUUCGCCUUUUACUAAAGAAUACCGUGUGUUCGUUGUAGAGAGUGGCAUUCGUUAAUUUUUGGAGGGUUCACCUUCUAAAGGGUGGA